AGUUUGAUCAUGGCUCAGAUUGAACGCUGGCGGCAUGCUUUACACAUGCAAGUCGAACGGCAGCACGGGGGCAACCCUUGGUGGCGAGUGGCGAACGGGUGAGUAAUAUAUCGGAACGUACCGGAAAUGGGGAUAACGUAGCGAAAGUUACGCUAAUACCGCAUAUGCCCUAAGGGGAAAGCGGGGACUCGCAAGAACCUCGCGUUUUCGGAGCGGCCGAUAUCGGAUUAGCUAGUAGGUGAGGUAAAGGCUCACCUAGGCGACGAUCCGUAGCUGGUCUGAGAGGACGACCAGCCACACUGGAACUGAGACACGGUCCAGACUCCUACGGGAGGCAGCAGUGGGGAAUUUUGGACAAUGGGCGCAAGCCUGAUCCAGCCAUGCCGCGUGAGUGAAGAAGGCCUUCGGGUUGUAAAGCUCUUUCAGCCGGAAAGAAAACGCACGGGUUAAUAACCUGUGUGGAUGACGGUACCGGAAGAAGAAGCACCGGCUAACUACGUG
rnacentral:rRNA from 1 species